rnacentral:lncRNA from 1 species
UGGCAUGCUUCUAGAAUAGUGAGUUGUGGCUGAGCUAAGCCGUUAGUCGCUUUGUAAACGCUCUGGCAAUCACUAUGGCGUCCAAAUCCAUUCAGCCCUCAAGAAACCGCACUGCCACAAGCUGGUUUCAGACUGUCCAAGUUAUCGCCACACUGAGAAGAGCUAAAAAACAUCGUUACAUAUCCAUUUUAUAGUUUUCGCAGCUUUCCGCAGUUUCCGCAGCCUUUCCGCAAAGGGCCUCC